GAUGAACGCUGGCGGCAUGCCUAAUACAUGCAAGUCGAGCGAACAGACGAGGAGCUUGCUCCUCUGACGUUAGCGGCGGACGGGUGAGUAACACGUGGAUAACCUACCUAUAAGACUGGGAUAACUUCGGGAAACCGGAGCAAAUACCGGAUAAUAUAUUGAACCGCAUGGUUCAAUAGUGAAAGACGGUUUUGCUGUCACUUAUAGAUGGAUCCGCGCCGCAUUAGCUAGUUGGUAAGGUAACGGCUUACUAAGGCAACGAUGCGUAGCCGACCUGAGAGGGUGAUCGGCCACACUGGAACUGAGACACGGUCCAGACUCCUACGGGAGGCAGCAGUAGGGAAUCUUCCGCAAUGGGCGAAAGCCUGACGGAGCAACGCCGCGUGAGUGAUGAAGGUCUUCGGAUCGUAAAACUCUGUUAUUAGGGAAGAACAAAUGUGUAAGUAACUAUGCACGUCUUGACGGUACCUAAUCAGAAAGCCACGGCUAACUACGUG
rnacentral:rRNA from 1 species